UACGUAGGGUGCAAGCGUUGUCCGGAAUUAUUGGGCGUAAAGAGCUCGUAGGCGGUUUGUUGCGUCGGCUGUGAAAACUCGGGGCUUAACCCCGGGCCUGCAGUGGGUACGGGCAGACUAGAGUGCGGUAGGGGAGACUGGAAUUCCUGGUGUAGCGGUGAAAUGCGCAGAUAUCAAGAGGAACACCUGCGGCGAAGGCGGGUUGCUGGGCCAACACUGACGCUGAAGCGCGAAAGCCAGGGGAGCGAGCGGG
rnacentral:rRNA from 1 species